rnacentral:rRNA from 1 species
UCCAGGGGGGGCAAGCGUUGUUCGGAAUUACUGGGCGUAAAGGGCUCGUAGGCGGCCAACUAAGUCACACGUGAAAUCCCCAGGCUUAACCUGGGAACUGCGUGUGAUACUGGAUGGCUUGAAUUCGGGAGAGGGAUGCAGAAUUCCGGGUGUAGCGGUGAAAUGCGUAGAUAUCUGGAGGAAUGCCGGUGGCGAAGGCGGCAUCCUGGACCGACAUUGACGCUGAGGAGCGGAAGCUAGGGGAGCAGACGGG